UCUCCGGUCCAAUAAUGAGCCAUCUGAAAGGAGGUCGUUGAUCCCUGUCCAGCACAUCAAAGAAGUCUUCUUUGAAUAUAUUUGGAACACUGUAAUCCUUCAACAAUUCUGGUGCAGUUUCCCCAAACUGAGAGAACAUAAUUCAAAUUAGAACAAUCUGUCACGAGAGAAACUGCACAGAGAGAAUAGAAAGGAACUGAGAGAACACAAUUCAAAUUAGAACAAUCUGUCACGAGAGAAACUGCACAGAGAGAAUAGCAGGAGUGUAAAGGAACCUUCUCAUCAAAAAUGUAAAGAGGAUCCUCGUCAUGCUGAAGUUUGAUGUAUGACACAUAGUCCUUAAGUUUCAUCUUAAUCUUGUGACGACUUCUUUGAGAUAAUUUAAAUGUUGUAUCUUCAUAUUUCUUCAAAAGCUCCUUUGUAGUCCAUGUAGUGCUUGCAGGCCAAGUGUCAGCCGAUCCAGCAAUUAGUACCUGUUAUGGUGUAAGUAAUAAGCUUGGUGAAGAAGAUAAUCUAUACUCUCAUAAGCUGUCAAUCAAGAAAACCAUGCACAUAAGCUGCCACCAAUAAAAAGUUUUGUAUCUUCAUAUUUCUUCAAAAGCUCCUCCGUAGUCCAUGUAGUGCUUGCAGGCCAAGUGUCAGCCGAUCCAGCAAUUAGUAC
rnacentral:lncRNA from 1 species